ACGCUCGACACCUACGGGAAGGCAGCAGUGGGGAAUAUUGCACAAUGGGGGAAACCCUGAUGCAGCGACGCCGCGUGAGCGAAGAAGUAUUUCGGUAUGUAAAGCUCUAUCAGCAGGGAAGAAACUGACGGUACCUGACUAAGAAGCACCGGCUAAAUACGUGCCAGCAGCCGCGGUAAUCUGAGCGGGCUGGCAAGGC
rnacentral:rRNA from 1 species